UACAGAGGGUGCAAGCGUUAAUCGGAAUUACUGGGCGUAAAGGGUGCGUAGGUGGUGCAAUAAGUUAGGUGUGAAAUCCCUGGGCUUAACCUGGGAACUGCGCCUAAUACUGUUGCGCUAGAGUAUUGUAGAGGAAAGUGGAAUUUCCGGUGUAGCGGUGAAAUGCGUAGAUAUCGGAAGGAACACCAGUGGCGAAAGCGACUUUCUGGACAAAUACUGACACUGAGGCACGAAAGCAUGGGGAGCAAACAGG
rnacentral:rRNA from 1 species